UUCACCUGCUAGGCUCGUCCGACAUGUCUCGCGCUCCCAUCGCACUCCAGCGUUGCGCAGCCUGGAGGGACAGGACGGACACGCGUGUGCCUCCUUCUAAUUCAUCUUGUAUGGCUUCACCAUUGUGGUUGUCAAUAUGGCAUGCAGAAUUAUCCCUCUUUCCAGGUUUUCCUCAAGGACCCUGGACAAUGCUGGUUUUUUCUAUGUGCACCACCAAAGGGCCCAUCCAGCUUCUAGAGUCUACCUGGUUUCCUGGGCUCAUGGCCCCUUCCUCCAUCUUCAAACCAGCAAUGGAAAUGGAAAUGAAAGCAAAAUGGAAGGACGUGAGGUCCUUAUCCUUGGAGAUCCUAUGGCGUCUCCACAGACAUUCCUUGAAGAAAUCAGAAAGAGCUGAGCCUGACACUCUAACCGGUUCUCUGGGUGUACUGCAAAGGUCUAAUAAAAGGCACCUUUGCCCGGUUGCUUCAAUUCUAGGAAGCUGUUCAAUGUUUGACUGUAUUUCUCCAUACUCAUUUGAAAACAGUUCAUCAGGUUAGUUCAGUUGAAUUAUUGCUCCUUGGGAGUUUUCCAAACCCUGGAUUUCCUUCGGAGAGAGCUAGAUUCUAUUCCAUUCUUGGAAUUCAGCUCCUUGCCCCUCUCCAUGACCCCUGAUUGCAAAUGCAGUAAAAAUAAAAAUAUCCUGCCACCUCCUGCA
rnacentral:lncRNA from 1 species